rfam:Vibrio aerogenes CECT 7868 genome assembly, contig: 0007
UAUCACUAAAGAUUGUUUUUCUUACGCUAUUUCCUAUGAGAAACGGAAUAAAUUAAAACCAUCAGAAUCGUCUUGGUUUUAACUAUAAGAAUGGAUAAAGGACCUG